rnacentral:rRNA from 1 species
CCUAGGGUGGCAGCAGUGGGGAAUCUUCCGCAAUGGGCGAAAGCCUGACGGAGCAACGCCGCGUGAUCGAAUGAAGGCCUUCGGGUUGUAAAGAUCUGUUGACAGGGACGAAUAAGCAAUGCGAAUAGUUUUGUGUAUGACGGUACCUGUUAGAAAGCUCCGGCUAACUACGUGCCAGCAGCCGCGGGAAUAAGUAGGGAGCAAGCGUUGUCCGGAAUUACUGGGCGUAAAGGGCGCGUAGGUGGGUGCUUAAGUCAGGUGUGAAAACUCCGGGCUCAACCUGGAGACUGCACUUGAAACUGUUUUUCUUGAGUACUGGAGAGGCAGACGGAAUUCCUAGUGUAGCGGUGAAAUGCGUAGAUAUUAGGAGGAACACCAGUGGCGAAGGCGGUCUGCUGGACAGCAACUGACGCUGAGGCGCGAAAGCGUGGGGAGCAAACAGGAUUAGAUACCCGAGUAGUC